GAUGAACGCUGGCGGCGUGCCUAAUACAUGCAAGUCGAGCGAACAGACGAGGAGCUUGCUCCUCUGACGUUAGCGGCGGACGGGUGAGUAACACGUGGAUAACCUACCUAUAAGACUGGGAUAACUUCGGGAAACCGGAGCUAAUACCGGAUAAUAUAUUGAACCGCAUGGUUCAAUAGUGAAAGACGGUUUUGCUGUCACUUAUAGAUGGAUCCGCGCCGCAUUAGCUAGUUGGUAAGGUAACGGCUUACCAAGGCAACGAUGCGUAGCCGACCUGAGAGGGUGAUCGGCCACACUGGAACUGAGACACGGUCCAGACUCCUACGGGACGCAGCAGUAGCGAAUCUUCCGCAAUGGGCGAAAGCCUGACGGAGCAACGCCGCGUGAGUGAUGAAGGUCUUCGGAUCGUAAAGCUCUGUUAUUAGGGAAGAACAAAUGUGUAAGUAACUAUGCACGUCUUGACGGUACCUAAUCAGAAAGCCACGGCUAACUACGUG
rnacentral:rRNA from 1 species